rnacentral:rRNA from 1 species
GACGGAGGAUGCAAGCGUUAUCCGGAAUGAUUGGGCGUAAAGCGUCCGCAGGUGGCAGUUCAAGUCUGCUGUCAAAGACCGGGGCUUAACUUCGGAAAGGCAGUGGAAACUGAACAGCUAGAGUAUGGUAGGGGCAGAGGGAAUUCCUGGUGUAGCGGUGAAAUGCGUAGAUAUCGGGAGGAACACCAGUGGCGAAGGCGGCGAUCUGGGUCGAUACUGACGCUGAGGUGCGAAAGCGUGGGGAGCAAACAGG